UGUCAGUGUGCCCCUGCUGGGGAGUGCCUCCCAGUUAGGCUGCUCGGGGGUCAGGGGUCAGGGACCCACUUGAGGAGGCAGUCUGCCCGUUCUCAGAUCUCCAGCUGUGUGCUGGGAGAUCUCUCUUCAAAGCUUUCAGACAGGGACAUUUAAGUCUGCAGAGGUUACUGCUGUCUUUUUGUGUGUGCCCUGCCCCCAGAGGUGGAGCCUACAGAGGCAGGCAGGCCUCCUUGAGCUGUGGUGGGCUCCACCCAGUUUGAGCUUCCAGGCUGCUUUGUUUACCUAAUGAAGCCUGGGCAAUGGCGGGCGCCCCUCCCCCAGCCUCGCUGCCGCCUUGCAGUUUGAUCUCAGACUGCUGUGCUAGCAAUCAGCGAGACUCCGUGGGCGUAGGACCCUCCGAGCCAGGUGCGGGAUAUAGUCUCGUGGGGCGCUGUUUUUUAAGCCGGUUGGAAAAGCACAGUAUUCGGGUGGGAGUGACCCGAUUUUCCAGAUGCGUCCGUCACCCCUUUCUUUGACUCGGAAAGGGAACUCCCUGACCCCUUGCGCUUCCCAAGUGAGGCAAUGCCUCGCCCUGCUUCGGCUCGCGCACGGUGCGUGUACCCACUGACCUGUGCCCACUGUCUGGCACUCCCUAGUGAGAUGAACCCGGUACCUCAGAUGGAAAUGCAGAAAUCACCCUUCUUCUGCGUCGUUCACGCUGGGAGCUGUAGACCGGAGCUGUUCCAAUUCGGCCAUCUUGGCUCCUCCCCUGGACUCUUUAUUUCUUAAGGGUGAGGAAAGUGAGGCUUGGAGAGACUAAGUAACUUGCCCAGUGUCACAAAACUAGAAGGCAGCAGAGCCAGUAUUUGAACCCAGAUCUGUCGACUGUCAAGCCCAUAUUCUAUUAUACACAGUGUUUUUACCUGAAAACACAAAAUUACAUAUUUAGAAGAAUUGUAUAAAUAAACAGUUUUAUAUACAUAUGCAUAUUUAUCCAGUUUGUAUUACUGGAGCAAUUAAGAGCAAGAUAAUCUUUGCUCUGUUCUAAUUGUGCACUUGGCUAAACUCAAAUACCAAAAUGCAGAAAUUACUAACCUUCCUCUGUAUUUUAAAUUAUACUUUAGGGAGUGGGUGGAAGGUUUCCUUUUU
rnacentral:lncRNA from 1 species